UGAUUCUGUACUUUUGAAGUU
rnacentral:piRNA from 1 species